rnacentral:rRNA from 1 species
UACGUAGGGUGCAAGCGUUAUCCGGAAUUAUUUGGCGUAAAGAGCUCGUAGGCGGUUUGUCGCGUCUGCUGUGAAAACCCGAGGCUCAACCUCGGGCCUGCAGUGGGUACGGGCAGACUAGAGUGCGGUAGGGGAGACUGGAAUUCCUGGUGUAGCGGUGAAAUGCGCAGAUAUCAGGAGGAACACCGGUGGCGAAGGCGGGUCUCUGGGCCGAUACUGACGCUGAGGAGCGAAAGCGUGGGGAGCGAACAGG